rnacentral:rRNA from 1 species
AUUGAACGCUGGCGGCGUGCCUAACACAUGCAAGUCGAGCGGUAACAGGCGUAGCAAUACGUGCUGACGAGCGGCGGACGGGUGAGUAAUGCUUGGGAAUCUUCCCGGUAGUGGGGAACAACCAACCGAAAGGUUGGCUAAUACCGCAUACGUUCUACGGAAGAAAGCGGGGACCGUAAGGCCUCGCGCUAUCGGAUGAGCCCAAGUCGGAUUAGCUAGUUGGCGGGGUAAUGGCCCACCAAGGCGACAAUCCGUAGCUGGUCUGAGAGGACGACCAGCCACACUGGGACUGAGACACGGCCCAGACUCCUACGGGAGGCAGCAGUGGGGAAUAUUGGACAAUGGGGGCAACCCCUGAUCCAGCGACGCCGCGUGUGUGAAGAAGGCCUGCGGGUUGUAAAGCACGUUUUAGUGGGGAUGAAAAGCACCGGGCUAAUACCCAGGUGUCUUGACCUAACCU